GACGAGAAGCUUGCUUCUCUGAUGUUAGCGGCGGACGGGUGAGUAACACGUGGAUAACCUACCUAUAAGACUGGGAUAACUUCGGGAAACCGGAGCUAAUACCGGAUAAUAUUUUGAACCGCAUGGUUCAAAAGUGAAAGACGGUCUUGCUGUCACUUAUAGAUGGAUCCGCGCUGCAUUAGCUAGUUGGUAAGGUAACGGCUUACCAAGGCAACGAUGCAUAGCCGACCUGAGAGGGUGAUCGGCCACACUGGAACUGAGACACGGUCCAGACUCCUACGGGAGGCAGCAGUAGGGAAUCUUCCGCAAUGGGCGAAAGCCUGACGGAGCAACGCCGCGUGAGUGAUGAAGGUCUUCGGAUCGUAAAACUCUGUUAUUAGGGAAGAACAUAUGUGUAAGUAACUGUGCACAUCUUGACGGUACCUAAUCAGAAAGCCACGGCUAACUACGUGCCAGCAGCCGCGGUAAUACGUAGGUGGCAAGCGUUAUCCGGAAUUAUUGGGCGUAAAGCGCGCGUAGGCGGUUUUUUAAGUCUGAUGUGAAAGCCCACGGCUCAACCGUGGAGGGUCAUUGGAAACUGGAAAACUUGAGUGCAGAAGAGGAAAGUGGAAUUCCAUGUGUAGCGGUGAAAUGCGCAGAGAUAUGGAGGAACACCAGUGGCGAAAGCGACUUUCUGGUCUGUAACUGACGCUGAUGUGCGAAAGCGUGGGGAUCAAAC
rnacentral:rRNA from 1 species